rfam:Clostridiales bacterium 41_12_two_minus Ley3_66761_scaffold_4933, whole genome shotgun sequence.
AAUUAAGACAAGGGGUGCUUGUGUAAACAGGCUGAGAGUAAGCUGUAUUGCUUUAACCCAUUACCUGAUUUGGAUAAUGCCAACGUAGGGAAAGUUAUAGUUCUUCCGG